rnacentral:lncRNA from 1 species
GGCUAGUUUUGUGUACUACCACAACCAUAUUUAAAUCUAGCCUAUGAUAGGGCAUCAACACAGUGGCUAGUUUAAAGGAUCACAAGUGCUCAAUUCAGACUACCAUAACCACAUUCUCAGUCCAUGAUGGUACACCAAUAAAGUGGCUAGUUCGGAAGACCAUGAAUGCUUAAUUAUAAACUACUAAAAUCAUAUUUUCAGCCUAUGAUGGGGCAUCAAUAUAGUGGC